CGCGGCCUAUCAGCUUGUUGGUGGGGUAAUGGCCUACCAAGGCGAUGACGGGUAGCCGGCCUGAGAGGGUGACCGGCCACACUGGGACUGAGACACGGCCCAGACUCCUACGGGAGGCAGCAGUGGGGAAUAUUGCACAAUGGGCGGAAGCCUGAUGCAGCGACGCCGCGUGAGGGAUGACGGCCUUCGGGUUGUAAACCUCUUUCAGUAGGGAAGAAGCCGUGAGGUGACGGUACCUGCAGAAGAAGCGCCGGCUAACUACGUGCCAGCAGCCGCGGUAAUACGUAGGGCGCAAGCGUUAUCCGGAAUUAUUGGGCGUAAAGAGCUCGUAGGCGGUUUGUCGCGUCUGCUGUGAAAGACCGGGGCUCAACUCCGGUUCUGCAGUGGGUACGGGCAGACUAGAGUGAUGUAGGGGAGACUGGAAUUCCUGGUGUAGCGGUGAAAUGCGCAGAUAUCAGGAGGAACACCGAUGGCGAAGGCAGGUCUCUGGGCAUUAACUGACGCUGAGGAGCGAAAGCAUGGGGAGCGAACAGGAUUAGAUACCCUGGUAGUCCAUGCCGUAAACGUUGGGCACUAGGUGUGGGGGACAUUCCACGUUUUCCGCGCCGUAGCUAACGCAUUAAGUGCCCCGCCUGGGGAGUACGG
rnacentral:rRNA from 1 species